GAAUGAAAUGAAUAUAGAGGAGAACUGAAAGGCCAUGGAGGAUCUGAGCCACUACAUGGAAAGAGCAAGGGUCCAUGAAUGACAGCUUGAAACAGGGUCCCUCUCUGCUGCCAACCUGCAUGGAUGGAGACAUGAAUAAGAAAUAAGCACUACUGAGUCAAGACAGAGAGAUCUGAAGGUUGAUUGUUAUAGCAGUUGGACUUCCCUAUUAUCUAAUAUACUGUGCUAUCUUCCAAUGCUUAGCUAGUAAGGGGGGCUCUAGGGAUACCAGUUAAAGAACUCUGGAAUGCAUCCCUUGCAAGUCUGAGAUAUGAAAGGCCACAAUUAGGUCAUGUUAAGAAAUCUAAAGCUGACUGUAGACUGAAGUCUGGCUUCAGUAAAUAUGAAAGAGAAAAGAAGAGCUGACUAACUGCUUUGAAUUAGAGCCAGGAGAGACUGUUGCAUUGCUACUGACCUGCAGUUAGAAAGUUCAUCAGGGCAAGGAGCCAGUGAUUGUUUCCCAGGGAACAUGUGUGGGCCAAUGAUACAGAGCUCACUGGAGUCUUGGUUGGUUUUGUCCAGUAGGUCUGCCUGGAGGGAGAAGGAAAACUUACAAAAGGAGACUGGGGGUAUACUUGUGUGUGAAGGCCCAGAUAAUGAGGACAGAUCCCCAGAGACCUCCUAGAAUAGCUAGAAAAGCCUGGGGUCAAAGAAGCUGCAGGGGAGGAGUGUCCAACAUGAAACCUCUGAGGAGUUCAGGGAAACACCCCAAGAGAAAGGAAGUCAGCUUUAAUCUUCGGCAGGGCCUAGAGAGUGAGAAGUCAAUCAGGAAUAAUAAAUGACCCAUCUCCUUGUCCCCUGUACCCUUUGAACCAGAGGGGAGCAAAACAGAAGCUAGCUAAUGAAAGAUGUGUUAUAGAAUUCAGGGUAACUGAGGUUAUGCUGCAGAAGCAAAUAACAAAAAGAUCUCGAGGACUUCUUGUUUAAGUUCUUUUUUUCUUCACAUACAUUUAUUUUCUGUUCACACUACAGUAUGUUAUCAGUUAGCAUGGGUCUCUGUUCAGCAUAGUUCAGGCAGGCACACAGGCCAAUAGAGGUUCUGUCUUGAUACAUAUUUCCAAAAGACAUUGUCAUUGCAUAAGCACAGCAUUGGAACACUGUGUGACUGUCCUAUGGACCUCAACUGUCCCAUUUUUAACCACUGUGUGACUGUCCUGUGGACCUCAACUGUCCCAUUUUUAAAAUGGGAAUUCAUGAAAUGAGGCAGAAAAAAGGAACAACACAUAUCGACAUUUCUCAAUUUUUUAAAAAGAAAUUAUGUGUGUGUUCAUCUAUCCCAGAUUAGAGUUUUUUUUUUUUUUUUUUUUUUUUUUUUGAGACGGAGUCUCGCUCCUGUCGCCCAGGCUGGAGUGCAGUGGCGC
rnacentral:lncRNA from 1 species